UUUUUUUUUAAUCCUUAAUUUCCAAAACUUGAGUGGUUUGCUUCUUGCAAUUGAAACAUGUUUGUAUUUAAGGGUCUGAGAGUGCAUUUUGCAAUGCAUGGGGAGUGUUCUGUCCUAUCUUGGUUACAUGAUGUAAACAGCAAGCUGUGUUCUGGGAGGCUCCUGGAAGCUCCUUUACAGUGCUGAGGGGUGGAGAAGGUUCAGUACCAGAUUCUCCUUACACUGCACCAGUCUUGCUGUGAGUGUCAGAUGGGGCAAGAGGCUGGGUUUGGUACAGAACUCAUGGAAUUGCCACCACUGAUUGCCCUCAGUGUUUGGACCCCAAAGCCCAUCAGGGGCAGGUCCUGGGUGUUCCAUGCACGAUGUUUCCUCUGGCCUCGGGUGUUUUCUCUUUUGCUGUUAUUAACAGGAUUUUGCUUUCACUCUCCCUCUGAACACAUGGCCUGUGCUCACGGGCCAGGGAGCACAGCUGCUGUGGGUCAGAGGGUGGCCACACCAACUUGCUCUCUGUGGCUUUUGCACAUCUCUGCACAUCAGUGUGUGUGGGGACAGUGCUUAGCACACAAUGAAAUGACUUUUCAUGGAGCUUGUAGAACUGAUGCCGGCAGGUCAGACAUCACCUGAACACCUGUAAGCAAACCUGCAGGUAGAGCAGGUGUAGCCCAGUCCCUCAUGUGUGUCACUGUGCCUGGAAGUCUGGCACUUUGUCCUGGGGGGAAAAGCCCCUAUUCCCAGCUACCUCAUUUUUUCUUUCUUUGCACUUUGUCAAAUAUUUUUUGUUUUGUUUUAAAUCACAUUUUGUCCUUCAAUUAAAACCUAAAAGCAGACAAGAAGCAGGACAGAAUGGUACCAUUGUCCAAGGACAGUUUAAUUUCAUUUUAAAUUAAUGUUUCUGUACAAAAAGACCAAGGUUGACCUGCAGCUGCUGUAAAAAGUAAAUAAAAAUUUCUAUAACUUGAUAAUAACUAUUAUACUUGGAAAUGAGAGUAGCAAUUGAAAAGCUGUCCUGAUGAUUUUUAAAUAGGAAGACAUCUGUUCAAAAAAAUAGAAGUCUCUGCUCUUUUAAGGACAGAUCAGAUAGUUUUCUCUCUGCCUCUACUCUGCUCUCACUAUUUUGCCUGUGGACUUGAUACAAUAGAGAGAUUCACUGAUUUUUCUGUAAUGUCUAAUUAGAUAUUUUUCUGUGGAGUUUCCCAUUUAAUCACCUGCAGAGGAAAAACUGUUCAAAUCAAUACCCACCUUCCAUACCUGAACUGUCAUUGACCAUUUUUUAUGAUCUUCAGGUAUGUGGGAUUUUGCGUAGAUUGAAAAAGUUUUUUAAGUGUCUUUUCUUCUGCUCCUAAAGGUGCUAUUUCGACAUAGUUUUGAAUUCCUUACACUGUGCUUGACUUCUAAAAGUACCAAUAUAAGCUGGUAAUCAGCUUGUGUUUAUUCUGUGGAGUUUUUCUUUGAGUAUUCAAUCUCUAUUUUGAAAAGCAUCCCUUUUCAUAAAGAUGGCUUCCAAACUGUCAAAAGGCCUUAAUAAUGCAAAAUAUAAUGGGAAAAUGCUCCCUUUUCCCUUCUUUGUAAAGGCAAAACCAAGAAAUGCUUCACAGAGAAUAUUUUCCUCUAAAAUUUUGAGGAGACGCUGAUACUAACUUUGAAUUCAAUGUAGCAAACAUUUUAGUGGCCAUGCACAAAUAGCAGGGGUGAAACAAGGAGCUAUUCAUUAACUCUGCAGACUGUACCAAUUAGCUGCUAAUUCCAGAGCCUUCCAUUAGCAUCAUGGUGGCUAUUCCAUAAAUAUUAAUCUUCCCAGGCUUGGUCCCAGGACAUGGCUGUGUGUCUGGGACACACUGACCCAUGAGGCUGGCAGGUCACUGGGGUGUUGUGCCCAGUGUAGGGUUUGUCUCAGACCCCUCCUGCUCAGCCCCCCAGGGUUUAGUGCUCAGGAGGAGGGAGGAGGGAAGCUCCAAGUGCUGCCAUUGCAGUGACAUCAGCUUGGGCACUAUGAGAAGAGGCUCUUGUAGACACAAGCUCUGGAGGAGAGAGCUGAAUUUUAGUCCUGCAUAGGAACUUUGUUGUUGUCUUUUUUGUGCUGCCUUUAUUUCUGUUUGAUCCGUAUCAUCAGUUUGUUUUAGGCAUUUGGUAACACUGCUACAGGAAGGUUUUUCUUUCUCUAAAGCACAUGAAGUCCUACUCCUGCCCUGUCUGAAGCAGCAGGAUCAAGGGUUGAUGUUUGAAUUUGUCCCAUCUCCAUACAUCAGGUAAUUUAUUGUCUUCUUAUAGGCUCUGCAUUCCCAGUGCUGUAGCAUUUUUCACUCAUGUUAAUCUCAGAGCUCUUUAGCCUUUUGAAAAGAGUCCAGAGACUGCCUUGUCCUUUUCCUCCUUCACACAUUGGGUGCUGCCCUCUGGACCAUCCAGACUCAUCCAGGCUGUCACUGCAGAGGAGCCACCAGUUGGUGGCCUCACAGGAAUAUCUGUGUUACCUGCAGUGCUUCUGAAAAACAGCUGAAAAAUGUUGAAAACAGCUGAAAAUGGACAAACUACUGAGCUUGCAAUUUCCUGAUCCUCUCAUUCUAGGGAAGGCUGAGGAGCAACAUUGUUCCUUGCCUUGCAGCUGCUCCCUGCUGCACAGGUAAGGAUGAGUCCACACUGUCCCUUAUGAUGUAAAGAUUGAUGGGCUGUUAUAGGAGACUUGCUAUUUUGCAUUUGUUGUAUUUAAAUCUGAACUUCUGGAGCUAUGGAACUGUGGGUUCUGGAACUAUGUCUGCAGUGUAGAACCACAGGUACUGGCCUAAAGAGCCGGGGAGCUUCUGGCCACCUGUUUUUACACUGCACUUUCUUCUUUUCUUGAGAAACCAGAGAUGUGAAACUGCAUCCCAGUUUGUAUGCCCACUGCUCUGUAAUCCAGAGUAGGACCCUGAUAACCUGGAAUUGUUUUACCUUCAGAAGGAAAAACUGAAAUUUCUUCACAUUAGAUGCUCUAUCUUUCAGAGUUUUCUCUCGGUAAACCAUAUUUAUUUGGUUCCAUGAAUCUUGUGGGAUUGGGUUAAAGAAAUGAAUAUGUAUUAUAAGAAUGAUAACUAGUAUACUUAGUCUGACUUUGUACAGUACAAAUACUCUCUUAUAUCUUAAGAGAAUGAAAAAACUAUUGAAUAAUCCAAUUAUGAUAUCUGUAUUCCAUGAACCAAGUAAUAGGAGGGUGUUGGAAUGUGAUGUUACGUUGCUGCCACUCACGUAAAGGUUCAGUGUUCUGUCAAAUCUAAGAUCUUGAUAAUUACCAGGAUAUUAUCAGAAUAUAUUGCCACCUUUUCUACAAAAGGCACAUUGGUGUGGUGAGGUAAAAGUACUCACCUCUUCUUUACCAUCUGUGGCAUGCAGCUGGACAGCAAGGGUCAUCCCCAUCAUGCAGCUGUGGUGCUCUGACUCCUGUGUUACAGAUGUGGUUACUGUUACAGCCUUUCUAUGUGUGUACAUGUUCUGUGGGUCCUGCUUUGUGUGGGAAUGGAGUUUUAGCUUUUAUGUGUCCACCUCAAAAUCUUUAGAAAUUAAUUGAUUAAUCACUUGGGGGCAGGGUUUGGAAUACUCUGAUCAGAGUAUGUUGAGUUACUUCUGUAUAAAACAGGGAAAAAUAAGACAUAAAUGCUCUUUGACCUCAAUCAAACUAUGCAAUACAGCACACCAGAGAGCUGAAUUCCUUGUGAUACAGAAGUGCAUCUCCUGUGUCCUUCCAAACCCAGUCCUUGGUCCAAGGUUAGGAGAGCUUGUACUCAAUGGCUGCCCAAGAAUCUCGUAUCCAGAUCAACUCUAGUUCACUGCUUUUGCUCCUGCCCCCUUGCCUGACCCAGCAGUUCAGCCAGGUCAGGUUGUUGGGUGUUUUGGCUCAGAAUGAUGUGAUCUCCGUGUGUGUCCCUCCUGUUGUCCCAUGGUGUUGUCAACUGGAGCUUGUCCUAUAACCCCACCAGUGUGGCUUUACCCUCUGGGGCCACUUCAGCACAUUUGCACCUCCCUGCCCUAGAGCAUGUCAGGUGUUUGAGGUUUGCUGUGCCCCCUGGGUUGGUGUUGUCUUGCUUUCCCUGUGUCAGUCACUUGUGGAUCUGGUGCUUACAGUAAAGAAUGCCUGUGAUGUCUCCAAUCAGUCCAAGUACGUUUUCAUUUCUGCCACUUCUGUGCGAGUUUGGUCUUUUUGCUUCUGUGGCAAUUCAGCGAUAAAUGCCCAUGUGUCAGGACUGCUGGUAAAGGUUCUUUGUUCUCCCACUGCUUCAUUUUUCUAAUGAAAUUUAUUCCUUGUGUUCUUCUUCUUCCCCCUGUUAAAAAACGGGUACAGUUUUUCCUGGUUCUGCCUCCCGUGAGGAGCUCUCCUCUCCCAGGUGAUCAUGAAUUCUUCAUUUCCUUAAGCCUGGACCUCAUACAGUUUCUGCCUCCUAAUUCCCUUUACUAUUUUGUCUCUCUUUAAUUGAGAUUGACCUCGAUUUCUUUCUCUGAUUCCAAACAGGGAUUUUGGUGCAUAGCCUGGGAGACAAGCAGGAAAGCUCUCUCUGUGUACAUCCAUUUCCUCCCCAGCACACGCAGUGUAAGGGGCUCAGCCUGUUCCAUUCCCUCCCCCAGGUUUUUCCUAGUGCUAAGCAGACCACAGGCUGAAGCCAUUUCUUAUUUCUUUUGGUAACUGAAAAUUUUAGGAGAUUUUCUUCUUCAGAAAUAGCCACUGCAGAUGAGCAGCUGGCAUGAGUGAGGGUUGUUAUGCUUCCAUAUUCAGUAUUUUUAAUUGAGGAACAAAUAAUUUAUUUUGGGGAAAAAUGUAAAUUUUUUUGUAUUUGUAUGUCAAAGUGGCCUUUAUAGGAAAAGCACAUAAAAUAGUUAGAUUAAAAUUGCUUAGUUGUGUAAUUUCAGUGGGGAUUUUUGUAUUGACAGGGUUUCUAUGCAUUUUUCAAAAUAUACUUGCUGGUUUGUGUUAGAAUUAUUGGAAAUCUUUUAAAAAACAUGUAUUACCACAUUUUCCAUGGUUGAUCCCUUUACUAUCAUUCCUUUUGAAUACUAAAAAGAUUUUAAUUAACCCUGUAAAUUAAUUUUCCCCACAAAUAUUUGCAUUAAGUCAAUAUAAUGAGUUAUAGCAUGGGUAUGUAGCUUUAACGAAAUAAGCCUAGUAGUGCAGCUUAAUUCUGGAGAGAUAUGUUUGCAGAAGGGUGGUACAGCAGCGUUUCAAUUGCACUUAAAACACUAAAUUAGGAAAUUAAGUUUUUGCUGUACCUCACUAGGGUUUUAUUAAACUAUGUCCAUCCUGUAUUGUUUACACUUUAGCAUUAUUUAACUAUGUAUUGUUUGUGCAGUUUGCAGUUCUCUGUUCUGUCAGGAUUAUGUGAACAUUAAAAGAUAGGAAAAGUUUUGGAGUGUGUGGUGUCCUCGUGGGUUUGACGUGAGUUUGGGGAGGGAGGAGAGAGGAAAGUCAGAUCCAUUAGUGCAUUUUUCCAUUAAAUGAUGUACACGUUUUCACAUUAGAUGAGACUGAAUAACAGAAGUUACAAUUGAACUGUGAGUAAAAUCAGUGGUUUGGGGGUGGGGGGAAUUAAGGGGUUGCAGAACUUAAGGCAAAAACCCUUCAGUUGCACUGUGGUACAACUGCCCUGACUGCCUGUGCAAAGCAUAGCCCGAGGGGACACAUCAGACCUAUCCAUUUUUCUGGUUUUACUUUCUCUUCCCCAGGUGUUGCUGCAAGGUUUGCUAGGUAGGACCUUCCCAAGAAUGUUUAUCAACUGAGACUUGAGUUUUAUAAUUUUAUGUUUGUAGUUUUAAUUUUUGUUCUUGUUUGUGUUUCAUAGAACAUCCCUCAUGUUCACAGGUUAGUGUAAGUGCAGGCUUUCAGGUGUAGCACCAAAUGAGCGUUUCAUGCAACCAUGCAUUCUGUAAUUGACAAAAAAUGUGCAAUUCUAAUGGUAUUUUGACCCAUUGCUGAAACACUGGGUUUUGCAAUUGAACAAACUCAAAAAUUGAAAACACUCUGUGUCUUCAUUAGAUGUCUUGAAGGUGAAGCAAAAGGCAGUUACUCCAGUUGUACCCAUGAUAAUUUGGUAAUUUUUUAAUAGUUUUAUGGUCUGUUUUUAGAAAAAAACACUAAUUUCUUGGUUUACUUUAGUUGCCAUAAAUUGCCUAGUGCAGAGUCUGGUCCACCUCCAUUUGUUUAUUUUCAUGGAGUAGUUGCACAAAAACUGGUAACAGCAAAGUAGGAAAGCUCUUUGGUUACUCACCAGUAGCUUCCCUUGCAGAAUUGCUUUGUGGCUCACACAUGGUAUGAAAAGGGACACGGGAAUUUUCCUGGAUUCAGUAGCACUCGCUUUGUUUACGUGUUCAGUAGAACAUUGGGUGACUAAAGGGAGGCUCCCUUUUUAAAGUAUUUGACUUGUGCUUUGAGGACUUAGUUGCCACUGUGCAAAUUGUGCUGUAACAUUGUACCAAGGAUCAGUGAAAGUGUUUUAUCUUUUUUAAUGUCGUUUGUAUUUGACCGGGUUUUAUAAAUGUAAGAAAACAGAGUGUUGUAUUUUGAUCUGAAAUUUGCGUAUGGUAAAAGUAACUUUGCUUUAUGUAUCGGAGGUUUGUUCAGAACUUGAAUCAUUUUAUAGAAGGGUACAGACCAAAAUUAAUUGUCUUAAAGGUGUUUAAUAAAUUAACCAAAUAAAACAUUGAUUGUUUGAAAACUUGUUAACUGCA